GUCUCUGGGCACACCACCGUGAACACACCUGAUCUCAUCUGAACUCAGAAGCUGAGCUGGGUUGGGCCUGGUUAGGACUUGGAUGGGAGACCGCCUGGGAAUACCAGGUGCUGUAGGUU
rnacentral:rRNA from 1 species